rnacentral:rRNA from 1 species
UACGGGGGGGGCAAGCGUUGUUCGGAAUUACUGGGCGUAAAGAGCGCGCAGGCGGUCGUACAAGUCGCGUGUGAAAGCCCCCGGCUCAACUGGGGAGGGUCACGCGAUACUGUUCGACUCGAAGGCAGGAGAGGGUAGUGGAAUUCCCGGUGUAGUGGUGAAAUGCGUAGAUAUCGGGAGGAACACCAGUGGCGAAGGCGACUACCUGGCCUGUUCUUGACGCUGAGGCGCGAAAGCUAGGGUAGCAAACGGG